GUUUGAGUGUAGCAAUGAGGAUCUCGCUCUGAUCCAAAGAAUUUGUCAUCCAAGAAAGCUGAUAUAAAUUGAUCUACUACUUCCGUGGCGAUAGUAUCACUCUUUAUAACAACUGUUUCCUUCCAUUCUAGUAUGGUCACCUUAUACUUUGUCAAGAUUGCUUGGGAACUCCUCUGAGCCUCAGCUUCCUGGCAGUCCUUGGGUUCAUUCAUACUAUUGUGAAUUUCCGCUCACGCCGAUGGGGGUCCUUGCUAC
rnacentral:rRNA from 1 species